GACGAACGCUGGCGGCGUGCUUAACACAUGCAAGUCGAACGGAAAGGCCCUGCUUUUGUGGGGUGCCCGAGUGGCGGACGGGUGAGUAACGCGUGUGUAACCUGCCCUUGACUUUGGGAUAACUUCAGGUAACUGGGGCUAAUACCGGACAGCAGCCCCCGUUGCGGGGUGGGGGUGGGAUAGUUUCGGCGGGUGGGGUUGGACUCGCGGCUUAUCAGCUUGUUGGUGGGGUAGUGGCUUACCAAUGUUUUGACGGGUAGCCGGCAUGGGAGGGUGACCGGCGACAUUGGGCCUGAGGUAGGGAGCAGUGUCCUACGGGAGGCAGCAGUGGGAAGUAUUGCACAGUGGGCGGAAGCCUGAUGCGGCGGCGCCGCGUGCGGGAUGACGGUCUGCGGGUUGUAAACCGCUUCAGCCUGUGACGAAGCGUGAGUGACGGUAAUGGGUAAAGAAGCACCGGCUAACUACGUG
rnacentral:rRNA from 1 species